rnacentral:rRNA from 1 species
AUGGCCUCCGCCGCGCCCUCCCGCUCCCGCUCCUCCUCCUCCGCCGACCAAGACGAGGAGGGCACCGACAGCGACGCCUCCAACGACUCCCACCCACCCACUGCCCAGGAGGCCCCGCCCCCACCGUUCCCCGACAGCUCGGCCCCGCCUCCUCCAGCCCCCGCUGCCUUACCCGACCCAGCCGGCGCCGGUCCAGUUCCGCCGCCUCCGCCGCAGGGGGCGAGUGCGGCGGAGGACUCGAGGCGGCUGUUCCAGCGGCUGUGGACGGACGAGGAGGAGCUGCUCAUCCUGCGCGGGUUCCUCGAGUUCACGUCGCGCCGGGGCACCGCCUUCGCGUCGCACCAGUACGACACGGGCCCCUUCUACGAGGAGAUCCGCCGGAAGCUCUCCUUCGACUUCUCCAAGAACCAGCUCAUCGAGAAGCUGCGCCGCCUCAAGAAGAAGUACCGCGUCUGCGCCACCCGCGUCGCUGCGCAGGGCGCCGCCUUCGCCUUCAAGAGCGCGCACGAGGGCGCCAUCUACGACGUCGCGCGCCACAUCUGGCGCCCGGCCUUCAAGCGCGACGGCGACGCCUCGGACGAGGACGACAUCAACCCCGCAGAAGCAGCGGCGGUUGCAGCAGCAGCCGCCGCCGCCGCCGCCACGGAGCCGCCUGCUGCGGUCGAGGAGGGCGGGGGCGGAGGCGCGUCUGCGCACACCCCUCGGGGCAGGGGCUCGCGGCGUGGAAGGAAGAGGACGGCGCCGGAGAUUGAGGCGCCCAUCUUCCCUGCAACGCCCGCUCCGAUGUUGACCGAUGCGGCUCAGGAGCCAGCUAUCACGGCGUUCGAGAGUUCCGUGCCGGUGAUUGCACAGCCACCUUCAGCGCCGGCAGCACCAUUGCCUCCUUAUCCGCUGACAGCCAAUGGCCCCACUGAAGCUGAUGUCCGGAGCAUCCUGUCACCGCUGCUCAAGGAGCUCAUCAGCUCGGUUGCUGUUCCGGGGCAGACCGGACUAGGAUUGGGCUUGGGCAUGGGAUUCGGGGGUGCUGAUAUUCUUGGCGCUGGUCUUGGGGUUGCUGGACUGAGCCCUCGGGUGCCCGGUGAUGAGAAGUGGAGGCAGCAGCAGAUUCUUGAGCUGGAGGUCUACCUCAAGAGGCUCGAGCUUGUCCGGGAGCAGGUCAUGACGGUGCUACAAGAACUCAGGUCAUCAGACAGCUGA